rnacentral:rRNA from 1 species
GAUGAACGCUGGCGGCGUGCCUAAUACAUGCAAGUCGAGCGAACAGACGAGGAGCUUGCUCCUCUGACGUUAGCGGCGGACGGGUGAGUAACACGUGGAUAACCUACCUAUAAGACUGGGAUAACUUCGGGAAACCGGAGCUAAUACCGGAUAAUAUAUUGAACCGCAUGGUUCAAUAGUGAAAGACGGUUUUGCUGUCACUUAUAGAUGGAUCCGCGCCGCAUUAGCUAGUUGGUAAGGUAACGGCUUACCAAGGCAACGAUGCGUAGCCGACCUGAGGGGGUGAUCGGCCACACGGGAACUGGGACACGGUCCAGACUCCUACGGGAGGCAGCAGUAGGGAAUCUUCCGCAAUGGGCGAAAGCUUGACGGAGCAACGCCGCGUGAGUGAUGAAGGUCUUCGGAUCGUAAAACUCUGUUAUUAGGGAAGAACAAAUGUGUAAGUAACUAUGCACGUCUUGACGGUACCUAAUCAGAAAGCCACGGCUAACUACGUG